GUCUUCUCUUUCCUAUAAAUGAAUACCCAAAGACCUCAUCUUCUUCACAAUUCAGAUUCCAAAUUUCUCAAACAAUCUAAAAUCAUUCUCUCAAAUCUCUCAACCGUGAUCAAGAUGCAGAUCUUCGUUAAAACUCUCACCGGAAAGACUAUCACCCUUGAGGUGGAAAGCUCUGACACCAUCGACAACGUUAAAGCCAAGAUCCAGGACAAGGAAGGCAUUCCUCCGGAUCAGCAGAGGCUUAUUUUCGCCGGAAAGCAGUUGGAGGAUGGCCGUACGUUGGCUGAUUACAACAUCCAGAAGGAAUCCACCCUCCACUUGGUUCUCAGGCUCCGUGGUGGUAUGCAGAUUUUCGUCAAGACCCUAACGGGAAAGACGAUUACUCUUGAGGUGGAGAGUUCUGACACUAUCGACAACGUGAAGGCCAAGAUCCAGGAUAAGGAAGGUGGAGAGCUCCGACACCAUUGACAACGUGAAGGCCAAGAUCCAGGAUAAGGAAGGUAUCCCUCCGGACCAGCAGAGGUUGAUCUUCGCCGGAAAACAGUUGGAGGAUGGUCGUACCUUGGCGGAUUACAACAUCCAGAAGGAGUCGACCCUUCACUUGGUGUUGCGUCUCCGUGGAGGUAUGCAGAUCUUCGUCAAGACUUUGACCGGAAAGACCAUCACCCUUGAAGUGGAGAGCUCCGACACCAUUGACAACGUGAAGGCUAAGAUCCAGGACAAGGAAGGUAUCCCUUUGGACCAGCAGCGUCUCAUCUUCGCUGGAAAGCAGCUUGAGGAUGGUCGCACUUUGGCCGAUUACAACAUCCAGAAAGAGUCUACUCUUCACUUGGUCCUCCGUCUCCGUGGUGGUUUUUAAAACUCGUCUCUGUUAUGGUUUAAGAAGUUUAUGCCUCGUUUCUUUUAAAACUUUGGUGGUUUGUGUUUCUGGGGCCUUGUAAAGCUCCUGAUAAAUAAUUGAUGAACUAUGUUUUCGAUCCGUUAAUCUCCUCUUUCUUCCUAAUGACAAAUCGAACUAAUUUUCAAUUGCAA